CUUCGUCUCCCUGAUGGGAAGGUGACCACUAGGACAGUCGACAUUACAACGUAAACAGAUGGUCUGCCUUCGUCUCCCUGAUGGGAAGGUGACCACUAGGACAGUCGACAUUACAACGUAAACAGAUGGUCUGCCUUCGUCUCCCUGAUGGGAAGGUGACCACUAGGACAGUCGACAUUACAACGUAAACAGAUGGUCUGCCUUCGUCUCCCUGAUGGGAAGGUGACCACUAGGACAGUCGACAUUACAACGUAAACAGAUGGUCUGCCUUCGUCUCCCUGAUGGGAAGGUGACCACUAGGACAGUCGACAUUACAACGUAAACAGAUGGUCUGCCUUCGUCUCCCUGAUGGGAAGGUGACCACUAGGACAGUCGACAUUACAACGUAAACAGAUGGUCUGCCUUCGUCUCCCUGAUGGGAAGGUGACCACUAGGACAGUCGACAUUACAACGUAAACAGAUGGUCUGCCUUCGUCUCCCUGAUGGGAAGGUGACCACUAGGACAGUCGACAUUACAACGUAAACAGAUGGUCUGCCUUCGUCUCCCUGAUGGGAAGGUGACCACUAGGACAGUCGACAUUACAACGUAAACAGAUGGUCUGCCUUCGUCUCCCUGA